rnacentral:rRNA from 1 species
GAUGAACGCUGGCGGCGUGCCUAAUACAUGCAAGUCGAGCGAACGGACGAGAAGCUUGCUUCUCUGAUGUUAGCGGCGGACGGGUGAGUAACACGUGGAUAACCUACCUAUAAGACUGGGAUAACUUCGGGACACCGGAGCUAUUACCUGCUGAUAUUUUGAACCGCAUGGUUCAAAAGUGAAAGACGGUCUUGCUGUCACUUAUAGAUGGAUCCGCGCUGCAUUAGCUAGUUGGUAAGGUAACGGCUUACCAAGGCAACGAUGCAUAGCCGACCUGAGAGGGUGAUCGGCAACACUGGAACUGAGACACGGUCCAGACUCCUACGGGAGGCAGCAGUAGGGAAUCUUCCGCGAUGGGCGAAAGCCUGACGGAGCAACGCCGCGUGAGUGAUGAAGGUCUUCGGAUCGUAAAACUCUGUUAUUAGGGAAGAACAUAUGUGUAAGUAACUGUGCACAUCUUGACGGUACCUAAUCAGAAAGCCACGGCUAACUACGUG